AUUAUAUAAAGCAAGUAAGGCCAAAAUCGUUGCUACGAACAUAUUGUCCAUUGACUGAGGACGCCACCAGAAAACCGUCACCAUGAAGAGGUUCAGGUGUUAUUACUGUGACUCUGAGUUUGAUGUUCACAAAGACACUGUACACAACCUCAUAGAACACCACGAAUCUUACACCAUUAAGUACAGGGAGCUGGAACUGAUUGAGAAAACGUGUCAUCAAGGCUACUGAACAGAGGAUUAUGAUAUUUAUCCGGCAGAAUGUUCCGUCUUAAUAUGUUCUAAGAUAUGUAACAAUGACAAUGAAUAAGUACAUGUAUAUUUAAUGAUAGUUGGAAUCAUAUUUAGGGCUAUUAAAAUAUAAACUAUGUAUCGCUAUUAUGUAACUGUCCAUACCUGUUAUAUAGAAAAGCUUAUUUAAAUUUUCAGAGACCACGUCUUUGACACUACAGAAAGAAAUCGCAAGAAGCAGAAACGAAAGAAAGGACAGAUAUCGGCUCCAGAUCAACUUGCGCAUGGACAAAGGGGCGUGAGACAAUUUCAUGCAUGCGAUGAAUCCAAGAUUUUAGCCCAUAUCCGCAAAGGUCUUAAAGAUAUUCAACAACACAUCACAAUUCAUCUGAUAAAACUUUAUUUAGAACUGUAACAGUAAAAACAUGUAAACAAAAACAUAAAAUCUGCAAUCUCCCUGCUACAACUGUGUUACAUUAUUCUCAAAACAAACGUCGACUAUGGACAGUUUAACAUUAUUGUUACAUCUCAUACACUAUCGGGUUCGUCAUUUUUCCUAUAUAACGUAUACUGCGACUUUAAAAUUCUGAGAUAUAAAAUUACGUGUAUGUUGUUA